GAAUUCGCCCUUAGAGUUCCCUUCUGGCUCAGGACGAACGCUGGCGGCGUGCUUAACACAUGCAAGUCGAGCGAAGUGCUUUAGACUGAUCCCUUCGGGGUGACGUCUUUAGUAUCUUAGCGGCGGACGGGUGAGUAACGCGUGAGAAACCUGCCUUUCACAAAGGAAUAGCCUCGGGAAACUGGGAUUAAUACCUUAUGAUACCUAAGCUCCACAUGGAGUAUAGGUUAAAGCGUAAAGCGGUGAAAGAUGGUCUCGCGUCCCAUUAGUUAGUUGGUGAGGUAAAGGCUCACCAAGACCAUGAUGGGUAACCGGCCUGAGAGGGUGAACGGUCACACUGGAACUGAGACACGGUCCAGACUCCCACGGGAGGCAGCAGUGGGGAAUAUUGCACAAUGGAGGAAACUCUGAUGCAGCGACGCCGCGUGAAUGAUGAAGGUCUUCGGAUCGUAAAAUUCUGUCCUAGGGGACGAUAAUGACGGUACCCUAGGAGGAAGCCCCGGCUAACUAUGUGCCAGCAGCCGCGGUAAUACAUAGGGGGCAAGCGUUGUCCGGAUUUAUUGGGCGUAAAGGGUACGCAGGCGGUCCUUUAAGUCAGAUGUGAAAUCUUACGGCUCAACCGUAAUUAGCAUUUGAAACUGGGGGACUUGAGUUAAGGAGAGGAAAGUGGAAUUCCUAGUGUAGCGGUGAAAUGCGUAGAUAUUAGGAGGAAUACCAGUGGCGAAGGCGACUUUCUGGACUUAUACUGACGCUGAGGUACGAAAGCGUGGGGAGCAAACAAGGAUUAGAUACCCUGGUAGUCCACGCUGUAAACGA
rnacentral:rRNA from 1 species